rnacentral:rRNA from 1 species
UACGGAGGGUGCGAGCGUUGUCCGGAAUCAUUGGGCGUAAAGGGCGCGUAGGUGGCCCGGUCAGUUCGUGGUGAAAGCGCGGGGCUCAACCCUGCGUCGGCCAUGAAUACUGCCGCGGCUGGAGCACUGUAGAGGCAGGCGGAAUUCCGGGUGUAGCGGUGGAAUGCGUAGAGAUCCGGAAGAACACCGGUGGCGAAGGCGGUCUGCUGGGCAGUUGCUGGACACUGAGGCGCGACAGCGUGGGGAGCAAACAGGG